GUAACCUUGCAGCUCAUUGUAGAACUUUCGGUUUAAAUUUUAUUUAUAUUUAUUUUAUUUUUUUGAGGUUAAAUCUACAUUUGAACUUAUUUGGUGUCAAGAUUUUCUUUUUUAAUGAUUGAUUUAAGAAAAAAUUUGCUAGAGCCUUCUUAGAAGAAUAUCUUUAAUUAAGAUGAGUUAUCAGCUUGGAGGACUUUGAAGCAUGCUUGUGCUGAUUUUUUUUUUUGAUGAAGGAAUUAAGUAGUAGAUUUAUGUAAGGCAGGAUUACAAAAGAUUUUAUUGAUUGGAAAUCGUCGCAAUUAAAGGAGCACUAAUAGGAGAUCUCGGAAACCAUCGCAACAGUCCUAGAUCCACCAAAAAACGUCGAGAUUCAGGUGGUCGAGCUGGAAAAAUUGGUCAAAAAUAUGUGCAAAAAUAAAAACUGUUAAAUCAUCAACUUCCUAAUCUCAACAUUCGAGUGGCCAGUUAUUGCAAAAUGCUGAUGGUCCAAUUUUUAUAUUCAAAACCUAAGAAGGCGAGAGUAGAGUUGUAUCUUCAAGUCAACAUAAUGGAGCCAACUAUGAAUAAAUAUUGGCUUCAUUAAGUAAACCGAAUGAUCUACGUUAAAUUAUUUAUUUUUUUUUGCUCGAUUUCUAAUGACAUUAAGCUGGAUUGCUAAUGACAUUACGCCAAGAUAUGACAAGUAGUACGAAAUUAAUGGAUCAAAACAUGCAACUUUAUGAAAAUGUAUUAGAAGAAUAAUUUACUCGUCAGGACUUGGGUGUUUUUCAGUGUCUCACUUGCACUGCAGCGACAUUCAUUAUCUUAAAUGUUGUAGCGUGAGAAAAAAAUCUCAUAGCCCAUGUCCUGAAAGGUUUAUCAACAAGAUUUUCUAGAUGCAUCUAGACAUGUUGGAAUCUUAGGAGCUCAAGGAGUUGGAAAAUCGACUUUUCUAUCACUUUUUUCUUUAAAUUAUGGGUAAUUUAUCAAUAAUGGAAUGAUAAAUAUUAAAGAAUUAAUUUUAAUUUAAAUAACAGAUCACAUUAAUGCAAAUGAAUUUCAGAUCAGAACUAUUAACUAUAAAAAUGUCAUCUCAUCUUACAAAUGGAUAAAAUUUUAGCAGUUAAUUAGAUUUUAAUGUAACAAAAAAUCCUGUUCUUAUUUAGAUACGCCGCCAAUUCUUUCAAGUUCUACAAUGACAUCAACUUCUUUAUUUUUUUUGACUUCUUAAUUUUUUUUUUUUAAUUGAUGUAUGCAUAUACCUAUAGAAAUUAACGUUAUUUUUUAGAAAUUUACUGUACAAGACACUUUUAAUGAUCAUGUAUCAAGCUUUAUUUUGAAAACUAUUCAUAAAAAUAUUCUUUUCUAAUUUAGAUAACAUGAAAGCCGCAUUUAACUUAAACAAUGUUUAAAAAAUCUGCAAAAGUAAUUCAUUGAAGAAAGAAGAAAAGAAAUCUAUCAAAGUUGAGUAAUCAGCGAGCGUUUUACAAAAAAUUGCUUACUAAAUAGUAUAUUUGGUACUAUUAAAUAAAUACACUUCUCACAAAAAUUAAGGGAGCAAGAAAAAAAUCCAAAUUUUUAGGGGAUUUUCAACAGGCUGUAACUUCUAGAAAAAUGAUCGUACAGCAAAUAAAAAAAAAGCAAAUUGUAGUUCUGAGUGUGUAGUUUUCGGAUCUGAGUUUGUAAAUUUUUUUUCGAGUAA